ACGGAAGGCAGCAGUGAGGAAUAUUGGUCAAUGGGCGGAAGCCUGAACCAGCCAAGUCGCGUGAAGGAUGAAGGUAUUAUGUAUUGUAAACUUCUUUAGCAGCAGAGUAAUAAGGGGGUCGUGACCCCCGAUGCAAGUAUGCUGAAAAUAAGGAUCGGCUAACUCCGUGCCAGCAGCCGCGGUAAUACGGAGGAUCCGAGCGUUAUCCGGAUUUACUGGGUUUAAAGGGUGCGCAGGCGGUUUUUUAAGUCAGUGGUUAAAUCGUGAGGCUCAACCUCAUCACGCCAUUGAUACUGGAAGACUUGAUUGCGGUUGAGGUUGGCGGAAUUCGUCGUGUAGCGGUGAAAUGCAUAGAUAUGACGAAGAACACCGAUUGCGUAGGCAGCUGACCAAGCCGUAAAUGACGCUCAUGCACGAAAGUGCGGGGAUCGAACAGGAUUAGAUACCCUGGUA
rnacentral:rRNA from 1 species